GUGUGUGUGUGUGUGUAUGUGUAUGAGUGAGUUUUUGAAAUUCCCAAGUUCCCUGUAGAUGUUCAGACUAAGCUGGACAGAAAAGAAUGUAAUAUUUCUGCAUCGGAUCGAAUCAAAAUCAUAAGAAAACUGUAUGAAAGCAUUGCUCAGUUUAAGAUGUAUCCAUCUAUGAGUUGUUCAUAUGAUAUAAGGGGAGUAUACACAGACCAAGCGACGUUUACAAGCGAAAACAGUCCAAAACAGUUGUAAACAAAGAUGUUGUUGGAUUUUGAUGAGGAUGCCAUGUUGGAUGGCAUGAGGCUUUAUCAUGAAAUUGAUUUCCUGUAUAAAUCUCUUAAUGUGUGCUGCUGCUUUCGAGAAGGUUUUGGAAAUAUUGCAUCUAGUGUGCUACAGCUUGCUCAAGAGAAAUCUCCCUUAGCAAAGCUGCACAAGGAGACGAGAAGAAUCUCUCACUGAAGAUCAUUCUGCUCUCCUGAUGUUGCCAUCCUUGUUCAGGGAGAAACUGAAAAUAUCGUGCUUGGGGAGAAUGAACCAUCAUUGCCAUAUCCAAUUGUUCAGCUGCAACAG